UGAGAUGAUGAUCACACUGGGCUCUGAGCAGUUUAUAAAAACUGUUUUUAUUGAUGCAUAAUUGCAGCCUAGAAAAAAAGAAAAACAGAAAA